UCCAACUCUACACAACUCCGCUCUCUCCUCUCUCUCUCUCUCUCGUCUAAGCCCUAGAUUUCUCUCUCUGUUCUCUCUUUCUCGCGUCAAAGCCCGCUUUCUCUCUCUGCUCUCUCUCUUGCAUCUAAGCCCUAGCUUUCUCUCUCUGCUCUCUCUCUCUCGUCUAAGCCCUAGCUUUCUUUCUCUGCUCUUUCUGUCGCGUCGAAGCCCUAGUUUUAUCUCUCUGCUCUCUCUCUUUAGAUGAAAAAGAUGCAGACAAGAUGAUGUUGUAGAUUCGAUAUAGUCUCCCUAUUCGAGUUAUCUCUCUAGUUCGCCUCUCUAUUCAAGUUCUCUCUCUGGUUUGGACACGAGAAACAACCAUUUGGAGCCACAAUUUCUUCGAAUUUCAGACGGCUAUACACAUCAAUUUGCAGCAAAAAAUCAGGCUGUACGGCUUAUGGGACGUGCUACUUCACACAUUACAUUAGAGUGUGCUUUACAAACUCAUCCCAACAUUACCCUUAUUGUAGAAGAGAUGUAGUCCACUUUACAUGGUUGUUUUCACUUUCUUGAACAGUUAUUACCAACUGAGGAUAGGAGAGGAACAAUAGGAUGUUUGUCAAUGUUUGUGAUAUUGAAAGGGAAUUAAUUCAAAAAUUAGCAAGUCGUAUCAAUGGAGAAUUCAGAGAAUUUUUCAAUCUUAUGGGAUCAGUACAAAACCUACUUUGAAUUCUUGGAACGGAACAAAAUGAAUUCAUAUCAGUCAGAAGGUUCUGGAGGAUAUCAAAUUAAAAAAAUUUAUUGCAAGGGAUUUGGAUGUAAUGAAUUAGUAAUUACUGCUACUUGAUGUUUUUUUCGUUGAGUUGCCCUUAAGUUGUCAGUAAUGGCUUUCCUUUGUUUUGUUCUUGUUUGUAGGAUGUUGUAUGCCCCUCUUGAUUAUGAA